UACGAAGGGGGCUAGCGUUGCUCGGAAUCACUGGGCGUAAAGCGCACGUAGGCGGCUUGCUAAGUCAGGGGUGAAAUCCUGGAGCUCAACUCCAGAACUGCCUUUGAUACUGGCGGUCUCGAGUCCGGGAGAGGUGAGUGGAACUGCGAGUGUAGAGGUGAAAUUCGUAGAUAUUCGCAAGAACACCAGUGGCGAAGGCGGCUCACUGGACCGGAACUGACGCUGAGGCGCGAAAGCGUGGGGAGCAAACAGG
rnacentral:rRNA from 1 species